UUAGGACAUUAUAUCUUAUCCAGGAACAAAUUAGGAUGUCAUAAACUCACAAAUGCAGGUAAUAUGCUACAUGAGGGGCAAGGUUUUCACUAACCCUCCACUCUGGCCUAAUGAAUGGAGUUUGAUAGUAAUCCUGGCUAAAAUU
ensembl:snoRNA SNORA62 Small nucleolar RNA SNORA62/SNORA6 family